rnacentral:rRNA from 1 species
UACAGAGGGUGCAAGCGUUGUUCGGAAUUAUUGGGCGUAAAGAGCGAGCAGGCGGUUACUCAAGUCAGAUGUAAAAUAUCCCGGCUUAACCGGGAGGGGCCAUUUGAAACUGGGUGACUAGAGUGAAGCAGAGGAUAGCGGAAUUCCCGGUGUAGUGGUGAAAUGCGUAGAUAUCGGGAGGAACACCAGUGGCGAAGGCGGCUAUCUGGGCUUUAACUGACGCUGAGGCGCGAAGGCUAGGGGAGCAAACAGG